rnacentral:rRNA from 1 species
GAUGAACGCUGGCGGCGUGCCUAAUACAUGCAAGUCGAGCGAACAGACCAGGAGCUGGCCCCUCUGACGUUAGCGGCGGACGGGUGAGAAACACGUGGAUAACCUACCUAUAAGACGGGGAUAACCUCGGGAAACCGGAGCUAAUACCGGACAAGAUAUUGAACCGCAUGGUGCAAUAGUGAAAGACGGUUUUGCUGUAACUUAUAGAUGGAUCCGCGCCGCAUUAGCUAGUUGGGAGGGUAACGGCCUACCAAGGCAACGAUGCGUAGCCGACCUGAGAGGGUGGUCGGCGGCCCUGGAGCUGAGACGCGGACCAGGGUCCUGCGGGAGGGAGCAGUAGGGAAUCUUCCGCAGUGGGCGGGAGCCUUGCGGAGCAGCGCCGCGUGAGUUAUGACGGUCUUCGGUUCGUGAAACUCGGUUAUUGGGGAAGAACAAAUGUGUAAGUAACUGUGCACGUAUUGACGGUACCUGAACAGAAAGCCCCGGCUAACUACGUG